rnacentral:rRNA from 1 species
CCUACGGGAGGCAGCAGUGAGGAAUAUUGGUCAAUGGGCGUAAGCCUGAACCAGCCAAGUCGCGUGAGGGAUGAAGGUUCUAUGGAUCGUAAACCUCUUUUAUAAGGGAAUAAAGUGCGGGACGUGUCCCGUUUUGUAUGUACCUUAUGAAUAAGGAUCGGCUAACUCCGUGCCAGCAGCCGCGGUAAUACGGAGGAUCCGAGCGUUAUCCGGAUUUAUUGGGUUUAAAGGGUGCGUAGGCGGCCUUUUAAGUCAGCGGUGAAAGUCUGUGGCUCAACCAUAGAAUUGAAGUUGAAACUGGGAGGGUUGAGUAUGUUUGAGGCAGGCGGAAUGCGUGGUGUAGAGGUGAAAUGCUUAGAUAUCACGCAGAACCACGAUUGCGAAGGCAGCAUGCCAAGCCAUGACUGACGCUGAUGCACGAAAGCGUGGGGAUCAAACAGGAUUAGAUACCCUUGUAGUA